rnacentral:rRNA from 1 species
UACGAAGGGGGCUAGCGUUGUUCGGAAUUACUGGGCGUAAAGCGCACGUAGGCGGCUAUUUAAGUCGGGGGUGAAAUCCCGGGGCUCAACCCCGGAACUGCCUUCGAUACUGGGUAUCUUGAGUUCGGAAGAGGUGAGUGGAAUUGCGAGUGUAGAGGUGAAAUUCGUAGAUAUUCGCAGGAACACCAGUGGCGAAGGCGGCUCACUGGUCCGAUACUGACGCUGAGGUGCGAAAGCGUGGGGAGCAAACAGG